GAUGAAGAACGUAGCGAAAUGCGAUAAGUAAUGUGAAUUGCAGAAUUCAGUGAAUCAUCGAAUCUUUGAACGCACCUUGCGCUCCUUGGCAUUCCGAAGAGCAUGCCUGUUUGAGUGUCAUUAAAUUCUCAAGACCUGUCUGCUUUUUUGAUAGGUAUUGGAUUUUGGGGGUUGCAGGCUGUUUCAAAUAAAUAGCCUUGCUCUCCUUGAAUGUAUUAGUGGAGAAAAGCCAUUGAACUCCAUUGGUGUGAUAAAACCUAUCAAUGCCAGGAGCAAUAUCACUACUUCUCUCUGCUGUCUAACUGUGACUGUCUGUAUUAAUUAGUAUGGAUGGGGACAACUUGACCAACUUGACCUCAAAUCAGGUAGGACUACCCGCUGAACUUAAGCAUAUCAAUAAGCGGAGGA
rnacentral:misc_RNA from 1 species